rnacentral:rRNA from 1 species
UACAGAGGGUGCAAACGUUGUUCGGAAUUACUGGGCGUAAAGCGUGUGUAGGCGGUUUUUUAAGUCGGGCGUGAAAGCCCCGGGCUCAACCCGGGAAGUGCACUCGAUACUGCGGAACUAGAGUUUCGGAGAGGUUGGUAGAAUUCUUGGUGUAGAGGUGAAAUUCGUAGAUAUCAAGAGGAAUACCGGUGGCGAAGGCGGCCAACUGGACGAAAACUGACGCUGAGACACGAAAGCAUGGGGAGCAAACAGG